AGUCAAUAGAUACCCUGGUAGUCCACGCCGUAAACGAUGAGUACUAGGUGUAGGAGGUAUCGACUCCUUCUGUGCCGCAGUUAACACAAUAAGUACUCCGCCUGGGAAGUACGGUCGCAAGAUUAAAACUCAAAGGAAUUGACGGGGGCCCGCACAAGCAGCGGAGCAUGUGGUUUAAUUCGAAGCAACGCGAAGAACCUUACCUAGACUCGACAUCUCCUGAAUAGCGCAGAGAUGCGUGAAGCCCCUUCGGGGCAGGAAGACAGGUGGUGCAUGGUUGUCGUCAGCUCGUGUCGUGAGAUG
rnacentral:rRNA from 1 species